rnacentral:rRNA from 1 species
CCUACGGGUGGCAGCAGUGGGGAAUAUUGGGCAAUGGGCGCAAGCCUGACCCAGCAACGCCGCGUGAAGGAAGAAGGCUUUCGGGUUGUAAACUUCUUUUGUCAGGGACGAAGCAAGUGACGGUACCUGACGAAUAAGCCACGGCUAACUACGUGCCAGCAGCCGCGGUAAUACGUAGUGGGCACGCGUUAUCCGGAUUUAGUGGGUGUAAAGGGCGUGUAGGCGGGAAUGCAAGUCAGAUGAGAAAACUAUGGGCUCAACCCAUAGACUGCAUUUGAAACUGUCUUUCUGGAGUGCUGGAGAGGCAAGCGGAAUUCCGGGUGUAGCGGUGAAAUGCGUAGAUAUACGGAGGAACACCAGUGGCGAAGGCGGAUUGCUGGACAGUAACUGACGCUGAGGCGCGAAAGCGUGGGGAGCAAACAGGAUUAGAUACCCGAGUAGUC